GGGCUUCAGGGGAAUCUCUGGGCCCCAGAUCUAAGACUGUAGGACAGAAGACCCUCAGCCUUGGGGAGGCCUCCUCUCAACUUAGCAGAGAUUGCCUUCCUGGAAGAAGCCACAGUGUUUUCUGAGGAGCUCAAGUUCACAAUCCAGAGGUGAGUUGUUAUGCGUCAUUAUUUAUAUUCAAGUGCUUCCUU
rnacentral:lncRNA from 1 species